UUAAGUGAAUAAGGGCGCACGGUGGAUGCCUUGGCACUAGGAGCCGAUGAAGGACGGGACUAACACCGAUAUGCUUUGGGGAGCUGUACGUAAGCUAUGAUCCAGAGAUUUCCGAAUGGGGGAACCCAGCAUCUUUAAUAGGAUGUUACGAUUGUGUGAAUACAUAGCACAUUCGAGGUAGACGCAGAGAACUGAAACAUCUAAGUACCUGCAGGAAGAGAAAGAAAAUUCGAUUCCCUGAGUAGCGGCGAGCGAAACGGGAAAAGCCCAAACCAGCAAGCUUGCUUGUUGGGGUUGUAGGACUCCAAUAUGGUAGUUCUUUCAGAUAGUCGAAUGACUUGGAAAAGUCAGUCAAAGAGGGUAAAAACCCCGUAGACGAAAUGUGGAAGACACCUAGGAGGAUCCUGAGUACGGCGGAACACGAGAAAUUCCGUCGGAAUCCGGGAGGACCAUCUCCCAAGGCUAAAUACUCCCUAGUGACCGAUAGUGAACCAGUACCGUGAGGGAAAGGUGAAAAGCACCCCGGAAGGGGAGUGAAAUAGAACCUGAAACCGUGUGCCUACAACAAGUCAAAGCCCAUUAAUGGGUGAUGGCGUGCCUUUUGUAGAAUGAACCGGCGAGUUACGAUUGCAUGCGAGGUUAAGUUGAAGAGACGGAGCCGCAGCGAAAGCGAGUCUGAAUAGGGCGUUUGAGUAUGUAGUCGUAGACCCGAAACCAUGUGAUCUACCCAUGUCCAGGUUGAAGGUGCGGUAAAACGCACUGGAGGACCGAACCCACGUACGUUGAAAAGUGCGGGGAUGAGGUGUGGGUAGCGGAGAAAUUCCAAACGAACUUGGAGAUAGCUGGUUCUCUCCGAAAUAGCUUUAGGGCUAGCCUCGGAAUUGAGAAUGAUGGAGGUAGAGCACUGUUUGGACUAGGGGCCCAUCUCGGGUUACCGAAUUCAGAUAAACUCCGAAUGCCAUUCAUUCAUAUCCGGGAGUCAGACUGUGAGUGAUAAGAUCCAUAGUCGAAAGGGAAACAGCCCAGACCACCAGCUAAGGUCCCAAAAUAUAUGUUAAGUGGAAAAGGAUGUGGGGUUGCACAGACAACUAGGAUGUUGGCUUAGAAGCAGCCAUCAUUUAAAGAGUGCGUAAUAGCUCACUAGUCGAGUGACCCUGCGCCGAAAAUGUACCGGGGCUAAACAUAUUACCGAAGCUGUGGAGUACACCUUUAGGUGUAUUGGUAGGAGAGCGUUCUAAGGGCGUUGAAGGCAGAUCGUGAGGACUGCUGGAGCGCUUAGAAGUGAGAAUGCCGGUAUGAGUAGCGAAAGACAGGUGAGAAUCCUGUCCACCGAAUGACUAAGGUUUCCUGGGGAAGGCUCGUCCGCCCAGGGUUAGUCGGGACCUAAGCCGAGGCCGACAGGCGUAGGCGAUGGAUAACAGGUUGAUAUUCCUGUACCCGUUGUUUUUGUUUGAGCAAUGGAGGGACGCAGGAGGCUAAGGAAUGCAGACGAUCGGAAAUGUCUGUCCAAGCAGUAAGUCUGAAGAGGAGUCAAAUGCUUCUUUUCUUAAGGACAAGCUGUGAUGGGGAGGGAAAUAAUAGUACCGAAGUUCCUGAUGUCACACUGCCGAGAAAAGCUUCUAGUGAGAAAACAGCGGCCCGUACCGCAAACCGACACAGGUAGUCGAGGAGAGAAUCCUAAGGUGAGCGAGAGAACUCUCGUUAAGGAACUCGGCAAAAUGACCCCGUAACUUCGGGAGAAGGGGUGCUGAUCAUACGAUCAGCCGCAGUGAAUAGGCCCAAGCGACUGUUUAUCAAAAACACAGGUCUCUGCAAAAUCGUAAGAUGAAGUAUAGGGGCUGACGCCUGCCCGGUGCUGGAAGGUUAAGAGGAGUGCUUAGCGCAAGCGAAGGUACGAAUUGAAGCCCCAGUAAACGGCGGCCGUAACUAUAACGGUCCUAAGGUAGCGAAAUUCCUUGUCGGGUAAGUUCCGACCCGCACGAAAGGCGUAACGAUUUGGGCACUGUCUCAACGAGAGACUCGGUGAAAUUUUAGUACCUGUGAAGAUGCAGGUUACCCGCGACAGGACGGAAAGACCCCAUGGAGCUUUACUGUAGUUUGAUAUUGAGUGUCUGUACCGCAUGUACAGGAUAGGUAGGAGCCGUAGAAAUCGGAACGCUAGUUUCGAUGGAGGCGCUGGUGGGAUACUACCCCUGCGUUAUGGCCACUCUAACCCGCACCACUAAUCGUGGUGGGAGACAGUGUCAGAUGGGCAGUUUGACUGGGGCGGUCGCCUCCUAAAAGGUAACGGAGGCGCCCAAAGGUUCCCUCAGAAUGGUUGGAAAUCAUUCGAAGAGUGUAAAGGCAGAAGGGAGCUUGACUGCGAGACCAACAAGUCGAGCAGGGACGAAAGUCGGGCUUAGUGAUCCGGUGGUUCCGCAUGGAAGGGCCAUCGCUCAACGGAUAAAAGCUACCCUGGGGAUAACAGGCUUAUCUCCCCCAAGAGUCCACAUCGACGGGGAGGUUUGGCACCUCGAUGUCGGCUCGUCGCAUCCUGGGGCUGUAGUCGGUCCCAAGGGUUGGGCUGUUCGCCCAUUAAAGCGGCACGCGAGCUGGGUUCAGAACGUCGUGAGACAGUUCGGUCCCUAUCCGUCGCGGGCGUUGGAAAUUUGAGAGGAGCUGUCCUUAGUACGAGAGGACCGGGAUGGACUUACCGCUGGUGUACCAGUUGUUCUGCCAAGGGCAUUGCUGGGUAGCUAUGUAGGGAAGGGAUAAACGCUGAAAGCAUCUAAGUGUGAAGCCCACCUCAAGAUGAGAUUUCCCAUUUCUUUAAGAAAGUAAGAUCCCUGAGAGAUGAUCAGGUAGAUAGGUCAGGAGUGGAAGUACAGUGAUGUAUGAAGCGGACUGAUACUAAUCGAUCGAGGACUUAACCAA
rnacentral:rRNA from 1 species